GAGUGGACGAACCUCUGGUGUUCGGGUUGUGUCGCCAGACGCAUUGCCCGGUAGCUAAGUUCGGAAUUGAUAAGCGCUGAAAGCAUCUAAGCGCGAAGCGAGCCCUGAGAUGAGUCUUCCCUGACAGUUUAACUGUCCUAAAGGGUUGUUCGAGACUAGAACGUUGAUAGGCAGGGUGUGUAAGCGUUGUGAGGCGUUGAGCUAACCUGUACUAAUUGCCCGUGAGGCUUAACCAUACAACACCCAAGG
rnacentral:rRNA from 1 species